GAUUGUUGCCAAAAUACCUUAGCAGAAACCAGGUCCUGCCUGAUCUAGGAAGCUAAGCAGAGUCAUCCCUGGUUAGUACUUGGAUGGGAGACCGCCAUUGAAGUCCAGGUGCUGUGAGCC
rnacentral:rRNA from 1 species